AGUAACGGCGAGUGAAGCGGCAACAGCGCAAAUUUGAAAUCUGGCUCUCGGGCCCGAGUUGUAAUUUGUAGAGGAUGCUUUUGAUGCGGUGCCUUCCGAGUUCCCUGGAACGGGACGCCAUAGAGGGUGAGAGCCCCGUCUGGUUGGAUGCCAGAUCUCUGUAAAGCUCCUUCAACGAGUCGAGUUGUUUGUGA
rnacentral:rRNA from 1 species